GAGUUCCCUCUUUCAUUUCCUCAUUUCGGUCUCUGUUUCAUCUUCUUCUACUCUCUUCUCUGCGAUUGAGUUGUGUGAGUGAUCGUUUUAUGGAGAUGGAGAGAGUUUCUGCGCUUCUGGUGUGAGUGUAUUGAAGUGAAUUUUUUUAUGUGAAUCCAGGGUGCAGGUGAUGAAUUGAAAAUCUGCGGAAGAAGAGACAGAGUCAGAAAGAUUGAUGAUUUGUGGAGGAUUCACAGUUAUUGAUGAUGGGUGCAAUUGAAUGAUGGGUGAGGCUUUGGACAGUGGAUAUUUUGGGUUUGGUUUUGGAGGUGUUUGAAAUUAUUGAAGAAGAAGGUUAGGGUGAAGAAGAUUGAAGACAAGAAGAAGAGAAGAAAUAUUGAAGGUUGGGGAGAGAAGGACUGAAGAAGCAGAAGGUGAAGUAUGAAGCAGGGAGAAGGUUGAAGAAGUAGAUUGAAGAUUGAGAUUGUUGUAGGAAUUUGGGAUUGAGGUGAAGAAAGUGAUCCAAAAAUCCUCAGGGCAUGGCAAUGAGUGAUUUAUAUAGCAGAGAAGUGCAACCGAAUCGGGCAACGAAAGUCGGGCAGGUGUGGUGCUGGUGUUGCAGCCUAUUGGCUCUCUUCCACAGGGUUUAACAUGGCAAUUUGGAUGUGUGCUUAGGCUCGGGUUUGUUAGUGGUUGAAGAAUGAUGAGAUUUGUGCUUGGAAUGGAUUGAAGAACUUUGAAUUGGCUUGGAAGGAGCGUCGGAGAAUUAUGCCGCUUGUUGAAGAGUCAUUUGGUUCUACUUCUUGAAACCUCUUCUUGGAAUGAAUGGAAAUGAAGGUUAUUUGGAAUUUUAGUGGGAAUCAAGUUGGUUUAGUGAUAUGACAUUUGAAUUGAGUUAUGAAACUUGCUUGAAUUGUUUAACUCAUUUAGUACUUUUGCAACGUUUGAAGUAGCAACAUUAGACUCAAAUUAUGUUAGAGUUUUUUGGAUUCAUGUUAGUUAUCGAAUUAAAUAUUUGGAAGAUUGUUAUGCGAAGUUGUCGUCAAGGACUUGCUUGAAUCUUGAGAUGGCGAUGUACAUGCUUUAGAAAUUAGUAAAAUGUGAGAAAUGGUUUUGAAUGAUUUAUGAUGUAAUGGAACUGUGGAAUGAAUUUGACAUUCUGUUAAAAAUAUUCCUUCUGCAGGUCGAAAAGUAUGCAGGUUGAUUAGAAUUGAAAGGCAGGUUGUUGUGCCGUUUCUUGGCCUUUUGGCUGUUGGCUAUGCUGCUAUGAAAGUUUGGAAGGCUCGCAUUUGCAGCUUCACGUCGCAACCUUUUCGUUUCCGCUUUGGCCAUAGUUAUUUGCAUUAGGAUAUAGGCAAUGGGUGUAACAGGGUGAAUUGUAUUUAUCAUGGGUUAGAGUUAGAUAUUUGGACUUGGACAAUGGUCUUGGAUUAUGCAGAAGGAUAGUGGUUCAAAUGUUAUGAUUAAUUAGGGAUUUAGUUGUAUUAUAAUGUGUUUUACUGAAGAGUUUUGGUUCUGCUAAUGUAGCUUUCGGCGUUUGGAGCUGAUACAUAUGCUUUGGCAUUUA